rnacentral:rRNA from 1 species
GAGAGUUUGAUCAUGGCUCAGAUUGAACGCUGGCGGCAUGCCUUACACAUGCAAGUCGAACGGCGGGCACGGGAGCUUGCUCCUGGUGGCGAGUGGCGAACGGGUGAGUAAUACAUCGGAACGUACCCUGAAGUGGGGAUAACGUAGCGAAAGUUACGCUAAUACCGCAUAUUCUGUGAGCAGGAAAGAGGGGGAUCGCAAGACCUCUUGCUUUAGGAGCGGCCGAUGUCGGAUUAGCUAGUUGGUGAGGUAAAGGCUCACCAAGGCGACGAUCCGUAGCGGGUCUGAGAGGAUGAUCCGCCACACUGGGACUGAGACACGGCCCAGACUCCUACGGGAGGCAGCAGUGGGGAAUUUUGGACAAUGGGCGCAAGCCUGAUCCAGCCAUGCCGCGUGAGUGAAGAAGGCCUUCGGGUUGUAAAGCUCUUUCGGUGGGGAAGAAAUUGCUUCGGUUAAUACCUGGAGUAGAUGACGGUACCCGCAUAAGAAGCACCGGCUAACUACGUG